rnacentral:rRNA from 1 species
GACCGGCGCAAGGGUGCGUAACGCGUGAGCAACAUGCCCGUAUCAGGGGAAUAAUCCAGGGAAACUUGGUCUAAUACCCCAUAGUAAAUAUUAAAGGCAUCUUUAAUAUUUUAAAGCUUUGGUGGAUACGGAUUGGCUCGCGUGACAUUAGCUAGAUGGUAAGGUAACGGCUUACCAUGGCUACGAUGUCUAGGGGUUCUGAGAGGAAGAUCCCCCACACUGGAACUGAGACACGGUCCAGACUCCUACGGGAGGCAGCAGUGAGGAAUAUUGGACAAUGGAUGGAAAUCUGAUCCAGCCAUGCCGCGUGCAGGAAGACGGCCCUAUGGGUUGUAAACUGCUUUUAUAUGGGAGCAAUAAGGCCUACGUGUAGGUUGAUGAGAGUACCAUAUGAAUAAGCACCGGCUAACUCCGUGCCAGCAGCCGCGGUAAUACGGAGGGUGCAAGCGUUAUCCGGAUUUAUUGGGUUUAAAGGGUGCGUAGGCGGUUUGAUAAGUCAGCGGUGAAAUAUUUCAGCUUAACUGGAAGGGUGCCGUUGAUACUGUCAGGCUCGAAUUUAGUUGCUGUGGGUGGAAUGUGUGGUGUAGCGGUGAAAUGCAUAGAUAUCACACAGAAUAUCGAUUGCGAAGGCAGCUCACAAAGCUAACAUUGACGCUGAUGCACGAAAGUGUGGGGAUCAAACAGGAUUAGAUACCCUGGUAGUCCACACUGUAAACGAUGAUAACUCGCUGUCGGCGAUACAUAGUCGGUGGCCAAGCGAAAGCGAUAAGUUAUCCACC